rnacentral:rRNA from 1 species
ACGGGUGAGUAAUGCUUAUCUAACUUGCCAAUUAGUGGGGGAUAACCAUGGGAAACCAUGGCUAAUACCGCAUUUGUUACUUCGGUAAUGAAAGAGAGUCGCAAGAUUCUCGCUAAUUGAUAGGGAUAAGUCGUAUUAGUUAGUUGGUGGGGUAAUGGCCUACCAAGACCAUGAUGCGUAGCCAGUCUGAGAGGAUGAAUGGCCACAAGGGAACUGAGACACGGUCCCUACUCCUACGGGAGGCAGCAGUGAGGAAUUUUCGGCAAUGGGGGCAACCCUGACCGAGCAAUACUACGUGAAGGAGGAAGGUCUACGGAUUGUAAACUUCUGUUAGCAGGGAAGAAGGGCUGGACGUGAGUUCAGUUUUGACGGUACCUGCAGAGAAAGCCACGACUAACUACGUGCCAGCAGUCGCGGUAAGACGUAGGUGGCGAACGUUAUCCGGAAUUAUUGGGCGUAAAGGGUGCGUAGAUGGUGUAAUAAGUUAUCAGCGGUAAAUCGGGGCUCAACCUCGUGGAAGUCGGUAAUACUGUUAUACUUGAGUGCAGGAGAGGUUAACGGAACUCCAUGUGGAGCGGUAAAAUGCGUAGAUAUAUGGAAGAACACCAAUAACGGCGAAGGCAGUUAACUAUUCUGUUACUGACAUUGAGGCACGAAAGCGUGGGGAGCAAAAAGGAUUAGAUACCCUUGUAGUCCACGCCCUAAACGAUGAGUGCUAGAUAUUGGGAACUUGAUUUUCAGUGUCGCAAGAUAACUCGGUAAGUACUCCGCCUGGGUAGUACGGUCGCAAGGCUAAAACUCAAAGGAAUUGACGGGAACUCACACAAGCAGUGGAGCAUGUGGUUUAAUCCGAUAUGACGCGUAGAACCUUACCAAGGCUUGACAUGUUCGGCAAAGUUAUUGAAAGGUAAUGGAGGUUAUCCGGACACAGGUGCUGCAUGGCCGUCGUCAGUUCGUGCCGUGAGGUGUAUGGUUAAGUCCUAUAACGAACGUAACCCUUAGGUUUAGUUGCCAGCAUUCAGUUGGGGACUCUAGACCGACUGCCCGAGUAAUCGGGAGGAAGGAAAGGAUGACGUCUGGUCGUC